rnacentral:rRNA from 1 species
CCUACGGGGGGCAGCAGUGAGGAAUAUUGGUCAAUGGGCGGAAGCCUGAACCAGCCAAGUAGCGUGCAGGAUGACGGCCCUACGGGUUGUAAACUGCUUUUAUACGGGAAUAACGCGCCUUACGUGUAGGGCUUUGCAUGUACCGUAUGAAUAAGGACCGGCUAAUUCCGUGCCAGCAGCCGCGGUAAUACGGAAGGUCCGGGCGUUAUCCGGAUUUAUUGGGUUUAAAGGGAGCGUAGGCCGCAUGUCAAGCGUGCUGUGAAAUGUCCGGGCUCAACCCGGGCCUUGCAGCGCGAACUGGCGUGCUUGAGUCCGCGGAAAGCAGGCGGAAUUCGUCGUGUAGCGGUGGAAUGCUUAGAUAUGACGAAGAACCCCGAUUGCGAAGGCAGCUUGCUGCAGCGGAACUGACGCUGAUGCUCGAAAGCGCGGGUAUCGAACAGGAUUAGAUACCCUUGUAGUC